CAGACCCCAAAACAGUCUCGCAACCGCCCCACAACCGCCCCCCCCCCCCCCCCCCCUUAUGGGGGAGGUUUAGCCUUUUGUCCUCGCUAAGGGUUGGGCAGUAACCUGCCCCCCACCUUUAUCCUUACAACUCUAAAGCUGUACCCAACGUGGGGUGCUUUGUUUCUGUCACGCCUGUGGCUGGGGGGGGUCCCCUUUUUAAAUGUGUGUUCUCCUUUCUGAAGCAGGGCUGCUCCCGGCCCUAACGGAUAGGAACAAAGAAAGAGCACCAUAAGGCUGCUCUUCUUCCAGGCAGUAAGGGUUCUGGCUUGUGGCAAAGGUUACUCGCCCAGCCCUGCUUCCCAUUACCUUUAUUUGCUAUGACACAAAGCAGAAGGAAGAGCAAAGCCCUGACCUUGAUAAAUUAACAAGAAGUUCGUCACGCUGCAGCCUGUGAAUCAGCAUCUGGGAAAGGCAAAGCCUGGAGCCUGCUCCUUCCCCUCAGGGUUGGUGCUGCCUGCCCUCCGCUCCUGUUUCUUCUGUACCUGCUGCAAGCACCUGCACCUUACCCCUGCACUCAGCUGGCGGCCGAGGGCCAUGGUAACUAAACAGAUACCAUUUGAGUGGGUCACUGCAACUGGCAGCUGAAGCAGACUGGAAGCCAAACACAACACAGUGUCCUGCAAACUGCUGAAAAUUCUGCCUAAAGUCUACAUCUUUCUUCAGUUCCAUAAGUGAGAUACAUCAGCUUCCACCUCAAGAUAUCCCCCUACGUUUUUUAGGUGUACUCCAUCCUCAGGAAAGAGAGGUGUCCACAGCAGCAUUCAAAGCCUUACAAGUUUACAACUAGUUAGUCCUUCGAUAAUCUAUUGAUACUUAUUAUGCUAUCAUCAAAAAUUCUACAGAAAAAUCAACUUAUCCUAUAUCUUUUUAAGCAACUUUCCUUACCUUGAUGCCAUCACACUUUUUUCAUUCAAACAGAAAUCUUGCAGUAUUACUUGCUCCUCUUACAUAAAGAACUAUCAGCAAAUUCUUCGUUGUUCCUUACAGCUUAUGGUCCAUGCUUCACGUCCUUAACUCUGACAAAUAGUAUUCCCUUCUAUUUUCUGCAUUUGCUUUAACACCACAUCUCUCGAUUCUUAUCAACAAUCCCAUCACACAAAACUGCCCCUUUCUGCUACAGGUGCAACUCUCCAGCCCUUCAAGUUCCUUACAAAAAAAAAUUAUACAAAAUAUGAUCAUAGCACAUUAUAUCCGUUCUCUUCAUACAGCAGAAAAUUAUUCUUGUGCAAAUCUCUCCAUGAGAGAGAACACAACAUAAAGGUUGCAAUGACUACAUCGAAAAAUAAAUGAAGUAUAGAAGUAUUAGGCUGGAAUAAGCAUUCUGUGCUUAUGUCAGUACUAUACCGAUGUUAUUUAAUAAGCUAACAUUCAAUCUUUUAAAAUCAUAACGUAAAGAAAAUUGAUUGUCUUCAGGAAAUUUAAUUUCUACACAUGAAUUUCUAAAGGUAUGUUAUUAAAGAUUAAAUUCCAAAUCCUCCAACUGACUUUGAGAGAUGGACCAUUCCACAUCCACAUGAAGUUCAUUAUGGGAUUCGGAAUCAGCCUAUUGUAUCCUCUAAUUAUCCUGUUUUACAACACCAAGUUCUGUAAGUACAAAAUAGAUGGGAAAAUACUCAGAUGCUUACUGAUGCUUGGUAAUAGAUCUUUUGGCAUAUCUCCAAUUGUUUGGCAUUUUAAAGAAUCAUGCAUACUUUUACCAGGAUAGAAGUGACAAUGUUCAAUUUUAAGUAAUUACAACUCCUAGUAUAUGAAGCAAACGAUAAGAACAAUAGUGUAAAUUUAAAGCAAUUUUUUGCUUCUGGUAGUUUUAAUUCCAAUGUAAGUGCUUCUACAUUGAGAUAACUAACAAAGAUCAGAAUAACAUCGCAUAUAUUUUAUAUUCUCGUGAAGAUACUACUAGAGAUUUUAUUUACUUUAAAUGUAAAAUUGUUUAUAUGUGAACUGCUGUCUUGCUUAUUUAGAGUUACAAUGUCAUAAAGCUGAACAGAGAAAGACCGGCUAUGAGAGCGAGAGAUCACCUUUAAGGGAAAUCCCCUAUUGCUCUUAAUUUGUUGGUUUUCUGAUAGUGGAGAAUGCUGGGUGCUCUGACUGUCUACAUCACUGGAGGCUUCUACUGUCAAAUUUUUUACUAUGACGUAUCAACAGAAAACACAGUUUUGCAACUUCUUGCUGCCUGCUCAGUAAGUUUACUAACUCACUACUGGUUUCUUGAGAUGUUUAGCAAGAUUUAAAAAAACAACAUGACCCUGUUGCUGCUGUAUUCCCACCCUACCCCCCCAAAAAAAAAUCACUGCUUCUCUUUUGCAUUCAUAAGAGCAUAAUUCUGUCCUUAAAGAAUUUCAGGCCAAUAAAUGUCUAAAGACUCAAUCACAUGUAAGCAAUCCUGACAUACAAGCAGAAUCCCUCCUUUGCAUAUUGCAUGUUUAAGUCUAGCGCUUUAUCAAGAUUCUAUUGAAACUCCAAUUAAAGCAGGAGGAAGAGGACCGCUUGAAGAAAAGUUCUAAGAAAUAUAAAAUAGUUACCUUGCAUCUUUGGUUUAGUUACAUAUCACUAGCGAAGAUGUUACCACUCCAGUCCCAAGUACAGAAACAAAGAACCCACUGAAUUUAAUAGUUUCAGUCCCGUAAGAAUUCAAAU